rnacentral:lncRNA from 1 species
UCUAUAUUAAAAUAUAGCACUGCAAUAACUGACAGUGAUUUGAAGGUACAACUACAUCAGCCGAUACAAAGCUCUCCUUGGUUUAUCACAACUGUACUCUGAGCCAGUCCUUGUACAUUAUUACCACACGAUUCAAUUACUUUUGGACGUAUAGGCCUGUAUGUGCUAUCACUCUUUGAUUUUUCUUUCUACGGAACCACGUGAAGCAGAAAAAGAGAGUUGUAACCCUUAGACAGAACAUCGUAUUGAUUAGCAUAAAAGUUUUUACUGUAUUGACAUGCUUCCAUAUGACACCUUUCUCAUUCCUGUACUCGUUGAACAUCAUAGGAGCUCCGCGCUGUAUCCAGACGGAUAAAGGGACAGAGAAUGUCUUAAUUGAUGACAUACAAGUUGCCAUCCAUUCUGUGUAUGGCGGACAAGAAGGGCCAUGUGUAAUAAAGAGCACCUCUCGUCAUAACCAGCGCACAGAACGCUUUUGGCGAACUCUUUUCGAAAUGAUGGGACAUUUUUGGGUCGACACUUUUCGGCAGUUGGUAAACUAGGGUCAGCUUGACUGCACUUCCCCUCUACAUUUGGAGUGUCUGAGGUUCUGCUUCAACAGGAUUAUUCAAUGAUCUGAGUUGGAUGACGUGCGAAAGGAGUGCAACCAGCAUCAUGUCAGGGCAUCCCUAGGUGUUGAAGCCUUGCCUGGAAAGCCUGAUAUUUUGCAUUUUUUGCCUAAGGUAUAUGAUGAGUAUAUCUUCCCAUGUGAGCAUAAGCAUCAACUUUGGAAGAACUCAAGAACGUCACUUAAAGAAACGCCCGUUGAGUCCGCUAUAAAAUGUACACAUAAAAACAAUAACAAAAAUUACCUUUGCCAACAAACAAAGGCAUGUUAAAGCCAAAAAAGACAUAUCAAAUGUCCUUCCUUAAACCACAUUGCACCAAAAAUAAACUGGAUGUGGCAAGACAUCUUUCUUGCGAGACAGUAAGUUAUACAGUUGUCGAUACCAGUGAAAUUUACCUUCACAUUCAAGUAAGAAAGUCUCAAAGCUGUACAUUGUGCCCUCUUCUUGUGUCCUGUUGUCACUUACUUGUAGCAGAACUCAUGUGUCAUCAGGUCUUUUAUGAGGAUACACAGUUCGGCUCACUGGCGUCCGAAAAUCUUAGCGACUCCCUGGUCAAACAGCCAGUCGGACAUGUCCUGGACAACCUUGUCAAAUUGUUCUUGUGACUCGCAUGCAUUCAAAUGUAAGAACAAAACCAACUAUGCUGUUCAUUGUAAAGAGAACCCGAUGUAGCUGCUUUUCUUAUACGUAUAUGGAAUAAAUACAAUAACUGUUGCAAGCAAAGCCUGGCCAUAACAAUACACGAGGUAUGGGUAGGUCAUGGGUGAACACUGUUCCUCUCCGAUUAAGCUACUUUAGGUAUGUUUUAUCUGGAUUUUCACAUCACGCUGUUUUACCAAGUCAAUAUUCUUGAAGAGAUUUCAGAACGUGCAGUAGGUCCCCAGGGAAGGAUCUAUGAAAUAGCAUGUAGUGGUGGAGGUCUGUCGAUUAGAUUUUCAACAGUGCAAUAGAAAUAUCGGAGUAAGGGUUUUUCGAGCCCCCGUCUGUCAUACAAUUUGAACUUUUGAACUUUAACUUUUAAUCUGGCUACUUCCUGUGGACACUAAGGUCGUAAAUAUGUUUUAUUACUUUCUUUUGGUGUAUCACAAAUGGUAAUUGUGCAUUUUCUGUUACUCUAGGCAGGAAGAAAAUUAAAUCGAUGU